rnacentral:rRNA from 1 species
UUCUUCGGACAAUAGUACAAGGUGCUGCAUGGUUGUCGUCAGCUCGUGCCGUGAGGUGCGGGUUAAGUCCCAUAACGAGCGCAACCCCUAUCAUUAGUUGCCAUCAGGUCAAGCUGGGGACUCUAAUGAAACUGCCUACGCAAGUAGUGAGGAAGGUGGGGAUGACGUCAAAUCAGCACGGCCCUUACGUCCAGGGCUACACACGUGCUACAAUGGCCGGCACAACGGGAAGCGACGGCGCGAGUCGUAGCGGAUCCCUCAAAGCCGGUACCCAGUUCGGAUUGCAGUCUGCAACUCGACUGCAUGAAGCCGGAAUCGCUAGUAAUCGCGCAUCAGCCAUGGCGCCGGUGAAUACGUUCCCGGGCCUU